rnacentral:rRNA from 1 species
ACAUAUGCCCAAAUCACCCCUAAACACACCCGAUCUGAGAAACUAAGCAGGCCUGAGCCUGGUUAGUACUUGGAUAGGUGACCACCAGUGCUUGCCAGAUGUAGCAGGCGUGUGAC